AUGAUUAUAUCAAGCUCGUGUGCAACGUCAAGCUCAACAAAUUCCUCCAUAAGCUUGCCAAGAAAUCAAGUUCAACAAGAGCAAGAAGAUAAUGGAAAUCCUCCACGGCAAGAGCAAGUUGUGAGAGACGAUCCUCCUCGUCAAGGACGUCAUCAUCCCCGACCCGAACACAAUGAAGAGCAAUGCUACGGCAAGCUAAAGUUCACCAUGCCCAAGUUCAAUGGAAGCAAUGAUCCCGAAGAGUACCUUCCAUGGGCAUUGAAGGUCGACAAAAUCUUCCGCUUGCACAACUAUGAAAAAGAGAAGAAGAUCACGAUGGCAUCCCUUGAGUUCCAAGACUAUGUCCUCAUUUGGUGGGAACAAGUCAUUGAGCGCCGAGAGGCAAAAGGUGAACCACCAAUCACUACUUGGGUGCAAAUGAAGGAUGUCAUGAGAGCACACUUCGUGCCUACCUACUACAACCGCGACGUCUUCAAGAAACUCCAACUACUCAAGCAAGGAACCAAGAGCGUUGAAGAGUACUACAAGGAAAUGGGGAUUGCAAUGAUACGAGCCAAUGUCACGGAAGAUGAUGAGCAAACUAUGGCACGUUUCUUGAAUGGACUCAAUCAUCCCAUCAAGAAGAUCGCCGACUUCCAACCAUACUCGAACCUCAUCGAGCUAGUGCAUCAAGCUAUCAAAGCGGAACAUUAA
rnacentral:rRNA from 1 species